GUCAGGCCAAGUAGAUAAAUAAAAUAUGAUGGUAGAUUAAGUGCUUCAAUGGUCUAAGAUUCUAGCUUACGUCACAGCGUCACGUGCGCUUUUUACGUCCAACACGGAAACUGCAGUCGUGUUGCUUUCGCUUGUACUCGGAACUCGGAAAUUCUAACUUCCGAGUAGGAAGAUGUAGGUAACUCCAGACUGCAGAUGAGCUGCAUAUGUGUUUAGUAGUAAUUUGUUUUCAUAGAGGGCUAGCAAAACAACCGUUUUCGAGGGCGUCGCCAUAUUGGAAUCCCGACUUCUCUGACGAGGCUAACCAGAACGCCGUUUACUGGAGUGAGACAUCAUUCCCAGGUCCGUGUUCCGAUUUCCGAGUGAAUGUAAAUGUCGACACACAGUACCUGACCCAGAGAGAACGACGACAACAAAUCCUCUCACUGCUGUAUUUAAUCUCAUAGCUGCUCCUCUCACCUGUCUGUGUGACUUCAGAGACAAUAAAACACGUCAGCAGUUGUAUGAACUGAUUCUUCUGUGGCGCUGAAAUGGAUCAGUGCAAAGAGCAUUGGUGGGAUGAUGGAUGCAGACAGUGGAGUCCUCAGUACUGAAGCAGCAACACUAAAGUCUCACCACUGGGGGAAACUGAAA